rnacentral:rRNA from 1 species
GACGUAGGGCGCGAGCGUUGUCCGGAUUUAUUGGGCGUAAAGAGCUCGUAGGCGGCUCGUUGCGUCGGCUGUGAAAACCCGCAGCUCAACUGUGGGCUUGCAGCUGAUACGGGCGGGCUAGGAUUCGGUAGGGGAGACUGGAAUUCCUGGUGUAGCGGUGAAAUGCGCAGAUAUCAGGAGGAACACCGGUGGCGAAGGCGGGACUCUGGGCCGAUACUGACGCUGAGGAGCGAAAGCGUGGGGAGCGAACAGG